GUGCUCGCUUCCGCAGCACAUACACUAACAUUAGAAGGAUACGCAGAAGAUUAGCAUGGCCCCUGUGCAAGGAUGACAUGCAAACUCAUAAAGCAUUCUGUAUUUAA
rnacentral:snRNA from 1 species